CUGGACAAUGAGCUCCUGAAGCUGCCCAGCAAAGCUGCUGCUGCUCUCUCUCUGAAUGAAGAUUGAGCUUCACCCCCCUCCAGGCUGCAGCUUCCUCCCCUGUGCAACAUCUGAUAUCAGAAGGGGAGAAUCUACAGACUGAGAUCUCAGAAGAGAUGCCUUAACAAGAUGCACCAGGGGUCACUCAACAUCCCCGGGGGUUUGAAUCUUGAAGAAGUCUUUGUUUUGCCUGCUUCAGUCUGACCAGAGAAGUACUCAGACGGGAGCACAGCAGUAAACUGCCGGUGGAAAGAGCUUUAACCAGUUCCACGAGCUGAAGAAACGUUACGCCCUUCACAGUGGGAUGUGACUCUAUGUGUUUCCUUGAGUGAGGUCACAGCUUCAAUCGCUCGUCAGAAAUGGAGAGCCGAAAGGACACCCAAACUGGGGAGCGACCAUGGGAAUGUGGGAAGGGAUCCUGUUGCCUGUGGGCGCUGGAAAUCUGUCAGCGCAGUCGGACCAGGGGAGAGGCCGUUCUCCUGCUGCGAGGGUGGGAAUGCGUUUGCUAACGUUUCCGGCCUGUGUGCGCACCAUCGACUUCAUCCGGUGGUGCUGGGCGCAGGGUGGUGGUGGUGGUCAGAGAGGCUGAUCGUCCCCUUUGGUCAUAAUAGUCUCACAGCUCGGAAACAGACCCUUUGGUCCAACACAUCCACGCCAACCAGAUAUCUUCAAUUAAUCUAGUUCUAUUUGGCCCAUAUCACUCUUAUUCCUGUACCCAUCCAGAUGCCUUUUAAAUGCUAUAAUUGUAUCAGCCUCCACCACUUCGUCUGGCAGCUCAUUCCAUACACAUGCCACCCUCUGUGUGAAAAAAUGCCCUUUUAAAUCUUUCCCCACUCAACUUAAAACUAUGCUCCUCUAAGUUUUGGACUCCCCCUUACCCUGGGGGGGAAAGACCUUCUCUAUUCACCUUAUCCACGCCCCCUCAUGAUGUUAUAAACCUCUAUAAGGUCACCCCCUCAGCCUCCGAGCUCCAGGGAAAAUAGCCCCAGUCUAUUCAGCCUCUCCCUGUAGCUCAAACCCUCCAACAUCCUUGUAAUUCUUUUCUGAACUCUUUCACAACAUCCUUCCUGUAGCAGGGAGACCGGGAUUGAACGCAGUAUUCCCAAAGCGGCCCUAUCCAAUGUCCUGCACAGCCGCAACAUGACCCUCCUAACUCCCUGUACUCAACGCACUGACAAAUGAAGCAUGCCAAAUGCCUUCUUCACUAUCCUAUCUACCUGUGAUUCCGUAAGGAACUACAAACCUGCCCCCCUGCAAGGUCUCUUUGUCCAGCAACACUCCCCAAGACCUUACCAUUAAGUGUAUAACUCCUGCCCUGAUGUACCUUUCCAAACACAGCACUUAGCUAAAUUAAACUCCACCUGCCACUCUUGGGGCCCACUGGUCCAUCUUGAGUCCUCCUCUGUUACUGCUUUAUUGAUUCUUCACGUUAAUUUAACUGGACUGAGAAAGUGCCUCCCCACCUCCUCGCCAGGAUUUGUGGCUUGCAGUACAAAGCCAGCAGCGUUAAGGAAAGGGAGAAAAGAAACAAAGAACUGCAGAGCCAGUCGUUAGAAAGGUGAGCAGGAAUCGCUGGAAAAACUCAGCAGGUCUGGCAGCGUCUGUGCGGAGAAGUCGAGGUUAACGGAGUGUGACCCUAAUGAGACAUUGAACUUGCUGAGGGACUGUGGCUGUGGCAAUGAUUUGGGACAUUUCAAAAUCUUUACACGCUGGGUGUACUUGUUUUUUUUCUCCUUUUUCUCCCCCUUCCUCCACCACAAGAGGGCAGCUAACCCCACCUCUUUCUUUCUCCUUACUGUCUCUGAAUAAAUAUCAAAUGGUUUUAACUUUU